CUACCCAAUUAACACAAUAAAAAGGGAAAUUUGCUUCAGGUAAAUAGUCAGUCAAACUGUUCAAUGUUCUCAACGUCUUCCCGGUCAUUAUUAUUGUAUCUUUCCAUAUAUGAUCCUCUGGCACUGGAAUAGAGAGACGAUAGCCUAGCACUAACUUCAAAACAUCCAGGGAACCCUUCACCAACUCGGAUUACGGCCUCAAUCGUGCGGACUGCCAAUCUGUUUCUCAAUUUUGUUUUGUUACAAUUCAUUUUGGAGAAUGUGUUAGAUCAAAUUUGAACGCAAGAUGCAUACCAGGGACGGGGAAUUUCAUUGAGUUCAAUGUUUCUUGUGCAAAUAAAAAUUUACUCAAAGAAAAUUCUUCAAUCUUGAUUAUACCCACAAUUUGAGCGAUUUAUACCUACAUUUUGCAUUUUAUCCCGUAGGUUUAUCCCUACAACCUACAAAAGGCAAAAAAUCCCUACUGUAGGUAGAAAUCCCUUCGAGUGGCAACCCUGAUUCCUGCCAAAGUUUGUAAAUCAACGAUCGAGGCUUCUGGGUAAUGCAAAGCCAACGCUAUUCGAUGUUCUGAAUCCUCCCCCCACAAAUGGGAUCACAAGACCAUUGCCACAAAGAACACACAAUCAUCCAAAGAAGCCCUGCAAAGAAGCCAAACAUUUUGACCAGCCAACCUUUGAAAACAUGCAUGAUGAUGACAUUGAAAGUUCUACAAACGACAAUGAUGACUCCAUUCCAUUGCCUACUGGUGAGUAUGACUGUUCAUUAGUUUUAUUAUUAAAGGUUCUGUUACUACUUCUCAACACAUUUGGUUCUUUCUUCUGCAAAUUGUUUUCGUCUAAUUUUCUACUAAUUACAUUUCAUCUGGUUUUUUCAUUGCUUUUUUAUAUUUAUUUUCAGAAAUGAAAAAUCAUGACUUUGCCACAGAAGUGCCUUCUAAUGGUAUUCAGUCUCAUGAAAGACCAUCUUUACCACCAAUUGAGACCCCUCGGAAAAAAAAUUAAGAAAUAUCUUAAAACAAAAAAUUCAGAAGUUGCGAAGGUUAUCUUUAAAGCUGAUAACCAAAACCUCCCCAUCUAAAGGAUUGAAAAAAGGUCAGAGAAUUAAGAAAGCAUUGAAGCUACUAGAGGGUGUAGUUUCCCCUCACCUCCUGAACUUUUUAAAAACACAAUUAAAACUUUCAUGCUAUCAUUCAAAAGGUAGAUGAUUUGAUGAUAAUUUUAAGGCCUGGGCUUUGACAUUAUAUCACAUCAGUGGAAAGGCAUACAGAUUUCUAGCAAAGCUUUUUAACUUACCUAGCAAGAAGACUCUAACCAACACUGUGGCAAAAUUUGCUUCAGAUGUUGGAUUUACUGAGAAGUCUCUCUAUGUUAUAAAGCAGAGAGCAGAGUCACUUCCAGCAGCAGGUAAGAUUUGCUCUUUUGAUGGAUGAAAUUUCACUGAAAAGCCACCUGUUCUAUGAUAUAUCUAAGGAUCAUUUGGUUGGCUUGGAGGACUUUGGUGACGGUAAGUCAUCUGGUCUAGUUGCUAACUCUGCUUUGGUAUUGAUGGCUAAGGGAAUUCUUCAUAACUGGAAACAGCCUAUUGCAUAUUUUCUUGUUAAUGAAUCUUGUGAUGCCUAUAGGCUAAAAGAUAUAAUGAGUGAAGCCCUUCUUCAUUUAGAAUCUAUGGGAUUGAAUGUUGUUUCCAUCAUCAGUGACCAAGGUUCAAAUUUUUUUAUCUUUCAUCCAGUCUGAAAAUGUAACUGCAGAACAGCCAUACAUUCAAAUGAGAGGCAAAAACUACUUUGUGAUUUUUGAUCCUCCACAUCUUCUUAAGUCAGUCCGCAACAAUCUUUUAAAGUACAAUUUCGAAUUUGAAAACAAAGAGGCAAACUGGGAUGACAUCAAAUCUUUUUAUAAUUAGGAGCAAAAACAAGCAAUCAGGACUGCCCCUAAGCUAACAGAAAGGCACAUUAAUCCUAGUGGCUUUAUGAAAAUGAGAGUCAAGCUUGCUGCUCAAAUAUUUAGUCAUUCUGUCGCUGCUGGUAUUACUCUGUAUGCAAGCCUUGGUGGUCUUUCUAAAAGUGCAAUUGGUACAGCUGAAUUUUUGGAGAGAGUUGAUAAGAUCUUUGACACCUGCAAUUCACUAAGUUUCAAAGAUGCAAAAAAACAGCGCAGACCUUUCUCUCAAGCAUCUCCACAUCUUAAGAUAAUGAAAGAUGGAAUCCAGCUUUUCAAAUCCUUAAAAGUUACUAAUAAGUCAACAAAGGAAGACAAGACAAAUAAAUUGAAAUGCCUGAAUGGGUGGUUAAUUACACUUAAUUCAAUGAUCAGUCUGUGAGAAAAAUUGUUUCAGUCUGGCACCAUAUCUUUCUUAGUAACCAGGCAGUUAAAUCAAGAUUCACUUGAAAAUUUUUUUGGAUCCAUCAGGCAGCAAGGUGGAAAUUCAGACAAUUCAACCCCCAUUCAGUUUAAAAGGGCUUACAGAAAGCUUUUCCAUACAAACCUUUUGAAAAUUACCAGUGGAAACUGUGAAGAGGAUGCUGAUCAUCCAUUAACAGAACUUUCUAGCGUAAAUGAUAUUGUGCCAUUAGCAACAGAAAGCAUGUCUCCACUUAAAUUUAUUUCUUCUGAAUAUACAACAGAGGACAUACAAAGCAAAGUAAUAAAACACAACUCGUUAGCCUAUGUUGCUGGCUUUUUACUGAAGCGAACUUUUGAAAGACACCAAUGCAGUACUUGUAAAUCAUAUCUAACUGACAAUCACCUUGAUGAUAAAAGGAAGUUAUUUCUUGUUUUUAAAGCCUAUGACACUGAUACAAAUUUAUUUGGAGGACUCACAGUUCCCUCAAAGGCAAUGAUGGACUUUUUAAUAAAGUUGGAAGAUAUUUUUGUUAGAUAUUUCAGAAAUUUAAGGAAGGUUAAAUCAAUUGGAAGUGAAAUCCUUGAAAUCUUGGAAAAAGGAAAUAUUAAAUAUUCAAUGUGUGCAGUUUGACAAGAGAUAUAUGGUUAUGCUGUUCAUAAGACUGAGGAUUUAUUAUUGUAUUAAAUUUGGAAAUAGAGAAUUGGCAUCAACUACAAGAAAGAGCAGAAAAUAUCUCAAAGUUGUUCAUUUGUGAUUUGCAGAUAUUUGUGUUUACAUGUAUGCAGUUUUUUCUCAAAGACUUUGAGUUUGGGUAAUGAUGGAAACAUUUCAUCUUUAGUUCAACUAAAACUACAAUUACAAAUCUCACUAUUAAAGAUACUUUGCAAUUGGAUAGCCUGGUUUGCAAAGCAAAGGUCUGUAAGCAGCACAACAAAAUAUUAAAAAACGUUGUUGGCCCUUUGACUGUUUUGGGGGUUGUCUGAAGCAGAGAAUGUUAGGUGUAUGGCAGUGAAACUUGGUCAGUUAAAGCUGAAGGCAAUAAGAAAAUUGCUAUGAAUUUCAGUAAGUUGUAUUAGUAAUCAAGUCACAUCUGAAGCAAAAAAGGUGUCAUUAGAGACAUGGCAAAGAAUAUGUCAAUUUUUCAUAAACUAUCCCACACAUGCCAACAUGUAAAAAGGACAUAAAAUCGAAUAUGGUGAUAUAAACUAGGGAUCUGAUAGAAAAAUUAGCAAACACAGUUUUAAAAAUAAUCAGUUAUAAACAGUACAGUUACCAAUUGCAGGCAGUUUGCAACUGGCUAGACUGGGUUUACAAGAUACGACCAUUAACAAUUUUACAAAUGUCAAACAAGGAGGAAUACUUAGAAAAAGAGCAACCAGGUCUAAAAAGGAUAUCAUUAUGGGUUUGAACAUAUGGCUUGCUUUUGAAAAAAUGAUGUAAUAGGUAGUACCAAUGGCAAUGUUGGAAAGUUUAGAGAUAAAAUACCGAUUGUGUUUCUGAUCAAUACAGUGUGUCACACAUUUGGAUCAAAGAGUUGCAGGAAUAUCAAAAUAUGCCAAGAGAUAUUAUAGAAAGAUUCACAAAAGAUACAUUUUUGAAUUGGCAUUUUAAUUCAUAUAACAGCAAGUUGCAUAAUAAUGGAAACAUUUAAUUUUCAUUUAAACUUAACAUACAAUUACAAAUCUCACUAUUACCUGUCAUCUUAUUUGUAUCUUCUUUUGUGCCCUUUAUCCAUUUACCCUCCACUGAUGUGAUAGGAUCAGUGGCGGACACUUGGUCAAAUAUUGGGGGGGCAAGCCUAUUGUUUUAAUAAGAUGACGUCACAUUUCCCAUUGUUUUAGAACAAAAGACCAUUGUUCUCUAAAGUAUUGGGGGGGCGGUCGCCCCCCCUCGCCCCCCCAAGUGUCCGCCACUGGAUAGGAUGUAUUUUAUCAACUACUUUCUAUGGGCUAAUUUGGAUAGCUAAAGGGUAGCAGGCUAGAUCAAUGAAUCUAGAAAAAGAGAAAUGAAGCACCUCUUUCCCUCUGCUAGCUUUGGGGUUGCACUUUGGGCAAGUGUAAACUACCUCUUUAGCCCCCCGUGACCAGGGUGACGGUGAAGAAAUAUACAAAUAUUUAAACUCCCCAACUGUAGAAAGGAAUUUGCAAUUUCUGGUAUAUCAUUGGUUAUUUAUAUGUUUUCCAGACAGCCCAGAAAAAUAGAUUUCCUGGAGAAGUUUGAAAUUCUAUUACUUUUGGUAGGU